CAGUUGGUGGAUCCUAUAUGCACGUUAUAACCGGUUUCCUAUCUUAGAACCCUAAUUGCCGUUCUAACUCAAUAACCCUGUUCGAUUAAAGACCUUACAAUUCUAAGUUCCAUCACUUCAAUCUCCACCAGACUCAAACAUCGUUCAUUUGAUUUUAGCAGUUAUUUAACACUGUAUGUCAAUUUUCGUUCAUCCCUUUAUUGUGAAUGCUUUCCAGGUUAAGGAAUACGUGUUCUUCUUAAUCAAUUGGUAAGAUUUUUUCUAUAGUAGUUUAUGUUACGGUAAACUUGGUAAAGUAUACAUUCGAUUUCUUUAAUUAAUGUCAGUUAAAGAUUUUUUCAAACAUCUCUGGCCACUGUUUCUGCUUUCAUGAGGAAUUCCUUUGGGUAGUGGGAGAAAACUGGUUUUGAAUUUUGAAAUUAUGAACGACAAAUACUACUUUUCUUUAAAUUUCAUAUGUUAUGUUUAUAGUUCUGAUAGGGAAGAACAUGGUGCUGAAACAAUUCCAUCCUUGCCGCUCAUCUUGAGAAACAAAAGAUUGAUGUAAGAAUUCUAAUUUCUGUUUGUCGAUCAAAAACCUGUUCCUUCACUUCGGAUCUCUUUGAAUGACCCGGGUAUUAAUGGUGUUUUGUUUCAUAUAAUAUCAUUUUUGCCAUUCAAGUUUGUUGUUUAAGUACUCUAAAUGGAGCGUAUAAGUGAAUGGGUCAAGAUUGAGUGUUUGUGAAGUAACAUGAUUUUGUUGUGUGUGAUCUGAGUUCCAAGUGAUGGAUUUUCUUUCAUGAUAUUUACCACCAUUUAUUUGGUUCGUUAGUACUAAAACACUGGCGAAGCAUAGUGGGGGCGGGAGGGGGCGGCCGACCUCCCCGAACUUUUCGCUCAGUAGUGCAGAGUAUGUAGUUUUCGUAUAGAAAUUUUUGGAUAUAUACAUUUUCGACCCCCCGUUUUAUUGAAAUUUUUGGGUAUAUACGUUUUCUAUACCCCGUCGGAAAUCUCAAGCUUCACCACUAUACUAAAACACUUUUUGGUUAUGGUACUAGAUGCUUAAACAAGUUCAGGCAGUUGGAAUCUUAGUUGAACUAUAUCAGUCUGGUGUGGAUGUUGCAAUUCUAUGAUUGUAGAGGGUGUAAGUUUUAAUGCUAAAAAGAAGCAAGUGGGGAAUUAUUAUUCCACAAAAGGUAAACUGCAUUUUUUGAACUCAUGGAAAAUAUCAUUUGUUCACUCUUUUGUCUCGAGUUUCUUUUGGUGAUUCUUGCUCCUUACUUAGAUAUAGAACUUCACUAUGAAAUUUGCAUGCCGCCAACAUGAAAUUGUAAUUCAUACCUAUCCAAAGAACCCUGAAUAUCUUGUCAUUAGCGGUGCUCAAAAUAAGGGUGAAGAGUUUGAUACCAAAGAUGAAGAAACUGUGGCACUCCCUGUUGACGAAGAGAGAAGCAAGUUAGCAGAUUCUUUCUAUCGCCUUGAACACCAAGAAGAGGAUUUAAUAAAUAAAAAAGUAGAGUCAUUGCUGGUGCGACUUUAAAGAGUAUUCGAUGCUAGACAUUUGGACGAUUACUCCAUAAACAAGUCAUUGUGUGCCAAACUUAGACUAUAGACUUUUCCCUAAUCAAGCAUUUAAAAUUGGUUUUAAAAAGUGCACUCAUGCGCCAAGCGAUUUGAAAAAUGCUUAAGAUCCUUGGGGCGGUGUUCAUGUACAUGUGGUCAAAUUAGUCAAGUAUAGGGCAUCGAGAAGGCCGGCUGAAAUGUAAAAAUGGCGAAUAUGAUGAAGAUAUUAUGAAUAGUUUAUUUGAUUAGAAGGAUCAUAUGUAAAAGAAAUGAGAGAGAUGUAGCUUUUGGUUUUACAUAGAGCAACACCCUGGUGCGAGUUCAAAGUAAUCAUGGGUAAAGGUUGCUGGAUCUUCAGCACGUAAGAACAUGUCUUAAGAUUACCACUAAAGUGACUCAAAAUAGGCUUGCGUGUGUGUUUGAUUUUUGUAACUCUUUUGUAAUCUAGAUGACUGGUAUUUUGCUUGUGUAUAUAUACAUGUGAAAGUUAUUACAUGCCAUAUGUAAGACUGAAAGUUGUGGUUGAGAUUGAUUAUUUUUCGUA